GGGAAUGUAGCUUAGUGGUAGAGUUCUUGUCUAGCAUGCAGGAAGCCCCAGGUUUGAUUCCUCAGUGCCC
rnacentral:tRNA from 1 species